UACGGAGGGUGCGAGCGUUGUCCGGAAUCACUGGGCGUAAAGGGCGCGUAGGUGGCCUGUGGAAGUCUGCGGUGAAAGCCCGGCGCUCAACGCCGGGUCGGCCGUGGAUACUCUCGGGCUUGAGCUUACUAGAGGCAGAUGGAAUUCCGGGUGUAGCGGUGGAAUGCGUAGAGAUCCGGAAGAACACCAGUGGCGAAGGCGGCCCGCUGGGCAGUGGCUGACGCUGAGGCGCGACAGCGUGGGGAGCAAACAGG
rnacentral:rRNA from 1 species